GGGGAUUUAGCUCAGUGGCAUAAGCACCUGCCUUGCAAGCAGGCAGUCGCGUGAGUUCGAUCCCUG
rnacentral:tRNA from 1 species